rnacentral:rRNA from 1 species
CCUACGGGUGGCUGCAGUGGGGAAUUUUGGACAAUGGGCGCAAGCCUGAUCCAGCCAUGCCGCGUGAGUGAAGAAGGCCUUCGGGUUGUAAAGCUCUUUCAGACGGAAAGAAAUCGGUGUGUCUAAUACACGCACUGGAUGACGGUACCGUAAGAAGAAGCACCGGCUAACUACGUGCCAGCAGCCGCGGUAAUACGUAGGGUGCGAGCGUUAAUCGGAAUUACUGGGCGUAAGAUGUGAGACAGCGGUGAAAUCCCCGGGCUCAACCUGGGAACUGCGUUUGUGACUGCAUAACUAGAGUACGGCAGAGGGAGGUGGAAUUCCACGUGUAGCAGUGAAAUGCGUAGAGAUGUGGAGGAACACCGAUGGCGAAGGCAGCCUCCUGGGCCAGUACUGACGCUCAUGCACGAAAGCGUGGGGAGCAAACAGGAUUAGAUACCCUGGUAGUC